AGAUUAGAAUCGUUUUGUACUUUUUUAUAUAAUAUUUUUUGUUUUUCUAGAAUUUAAACUUUUUUAGUAAUUUUAAUUUUAAUGGACAUAGCACCUUAAUCAACCAACAUUUUAUGCAGAUGUUGGUAUAAACUUGAGUAGAGAAAGGUGUUAUGUCACCUAUGUUGUAUUUAAAUGUUACAAAAAUAAUAAAAAAAACUAUUAAGUAAUCUGGAAAUUAAAUUUUAUUUGCAGAUUAACAAAAGCAAAGUAAGAUACAUCAAAAAUUUAUAAACAAAGACACAUAAACAUUUAAAUUUAACAUGAAUUACGUUUUUUCUUAGGGUUUUUCAAACAUUCUUCUAAAACAAUAUCAUAAUACCAUUUAUACUCUGCUGGAAUAAACUUAAGUUGAUCUUGUAGAUUUGAAAUUUUUUCAGAAGUCAAACCACCGCAUUUAGGUAACUUUUGUAAAACAACUUGAUUACUUUGUACUAUCAGUUCUCUUUUUUUUUUGUAAGUCAACUUCCAUAAAUGGGGUAAACGGAUCUAAACUAGUUUUGUAAAAGUAUUUUCCAAAACAACUUACUCUUAGCCACUUCACUUUAUCUCGAAAAUUUAUUUUUUGGUCAAGACUAUUAGUGAGUCUUUUGUUUAAAUGAAGUUUUGCAGGUAGAGUUUCAAAGCAA
rnacentral:lncRNA from 1 species